rnacentral:lncRNA from 1 species
GUACAUUUCUAUAUAGAUCUUCUUAGCAGAAAGAAAUUACCUGAAGAAGAAUUGUAACUCCACUUCUAUAUUCUCCUUUGCUCUUUUUCCAGGACUCCUUAGACUCUUCGCAUAUCGCAAGAACGCUUUGAUACUGUCUGGUACAUCAUUAUGGACGAACAGCCCAGUAAGCACAUCUCUUGGUUUGUAAACUGUGCCUUGACCAUUUUAAUUUUUUUGAACUUUGUUAAUUGUUUUUAGCCAAUUCUCUCUUAUAUUUUUAAUUCUUGAAUUCUUCUUGACUUAAUAAUUGGGAUUCAGUUAAAAUUUUAUUAAUUGCAUGUAAAAAAAAUAUAUAAAAAUUCUAUUGUAUUCUUUAGGUUUCAUAAGCCAAGUUCUUGAAUCUUCUCGUCUUUGCCGUUAUUUAUUUGAUUUGAAAAUUUUAAUAUGUUUAUAUCCAAUCUGUUUUAUAUACUUUAGAGUUUAGGGUUCAUAAGUUGAGUUCUUCAGCUAAUCCAUGUCUUAACAAUUACGAUUAUAUUAAGACUAGAAUCUUUCUUUCUGUUCUCUAGGGUUCAAAAGUUUUCUUGGGCUCUUCUUGAUCAUUGUGAUUUCACAUUUCUUGAUUUUUUAUUUAUUUUUUUUUUUUAGCCAAUUCAAUGUUAUUUUCUUAGUGCAAGUUUGUAUAUAAUAGAAUUGGACAAUUACAUAUGUUCCUUCCUAAUGUCGAGAUCUUUCUAUCUAAUAUACAAGUCAUGAAACAUGCCAAAUUUUGAACGCAAGUUUUCUUGAUGUUUGAUUCAUUAUCAACAGAUGCAGCAGAAAAUAUGGAAAUCGAAAGUCGGGAUCACACGCCGUUCUUCUAUGUGCGUACGAUUAUAUGGAAAUCCAUAAUGGCUACGUUGACCAGUGUUCUAAUAUGGUUUCUAGUGAAGUUCCAAAUAAAGAAAUUUCGGCAUUCUUCAAAUCAACAUGUCGACGUGAUAAAUGUUGCCAUGAGUUUAAUCUUCUCGUUGAUUCUCGUAGUCUUGUGUAUUUUUCUAAUAAUCCUUAUUAUUCUUGAUUGCCGAAAGAUUGUGAAACAAUUAGUGUCCGGUUGAGAGUUGAGGCUCCAGCGAGUACCAUGGCAGAAAAAAACCAUCAAACUAAAGUGUUAGAGGCUUAGAGCAAGUUUAAAUUUGUUUUUCUUUUACUAGUCGAAUAGAGAAAACAAUGUAAUUUUGAUAGCUACAAGAAACAAUGUAACUUUUACAGCACGUUUAUGAAGGUACAGUUGUAAAUGUUGAAUUUGUGACAAAUUUUUCAAUCCUUU